GAUGAACGCUGGCGGCGUGCCUAAUACAUGCAAGUCGAGCGAACAGACGAGGAGCUUGCUCCUCUGACGUUAGCGGCGGACGGGUGAGUAACACGUGGAUAACCUACCUAUAAGACUGGGAUAACUUCGGGAAACCGGAGCUAAUACCGGAUAAUAUAUUGAACCGCAUGGUUCAAUAGUGAAAGACGGUUUUGCUGUCACUUAUAGAUGGAUCCGCGCCGCAUUAGCUAGUUGGUAAGGUAACGGCUUACCAAGGCAACGAUGCGUAGCCGACCUGAGAGGGUGAUCGGCCACACUGGAACUGAGACACGGUCCAGACUCCUACGGAAGGCAGCAGUAGGGAAUCUUCCGCAAUGGGCGAAAGCCUGACGGAGCAACGCCGCGUGAGUGAUGAAGGUCUUCGGAUCGUAAAACUCUGUUAUUAGGGAAGAACAAAUGUGUAAGUAACUAUGCACGUCUUGACGGUACCUAAUCAGAAGGCCACGGCUAACUACGUG
rnacentral:rRNA from 1 species